CUUCGGAGAAGCUCAUUGGAUUGAGUGCCGAAGGGGCAAGGCUGCACUUUGGGGCGGCUGAAACUCUCAGGCAAAAGGACGAAG
rnacentral:ncRNA from 1 species